AUCAGACACAGGGUAACUAGCUCUGCAGCAUUUCCCAGCGAUAGAACAGUAUAAAACAGUUAUCGUGAGAGCAUCAUGUUCAUUUUAUGUUUACAGCCUCUCUGGAGGACAGAGCUGACUUGUGGGGAGAAAUGAGUGAAACUAAGAGGAGGAAGACAGCAACCAUGGAGAACAAUGCAGGUGGGGCUCUGGAGCAAGAGCCACUGAGUGGCUUGCAGGAGAGGACAGACGAUCUCAUGACAGACUUUGGCAGCCAACUGAGUUUUUGCCUGUGGAGUCCCAAGGAAGGAGCAGAUGCCAGCAUGUUCCUAGGUGAAAGAGAGGAGGGCUUUACAGCUGUAUCAGAGGACAGAGCCAGCAGCAGUGAGAAUCUGUGGCAGGGUGACCGCUUGUGGCUGCAAGAGAUUUCCAACCUUUCUGAAUGGACAUCCUGAUAUGGAGAUGCCCUUAGCCGAGGGUAUGAGAACAGCUGUGCUCCGCCUUCAGACAACGCCAAAUAAAGACCAUCCAUUCAAUGGGGUUCUUGUUCUU
ensembl:lncRNA